CCUACGGGAGGCAGCAGUAAGGAAUAUUGGUCAAUGGAGGCAACUCUGAACCAGCCAUGCCGCGUGCAGGAAGAAGGCCCUAUGGGUCGUAAACUGCUUUUGUACCAGAGAAAACCCGAGUACGUGUACUCGGUUGAUAGUAUGGUAAGAAUAAGCAUCGGCUAACUUCGUGCCAGCAGCCGCGGUAAGACGAAGGAUGCAAGCGUUAUCCGGAUUCAUUGGGUUUAAAGGGUGCGUAGGCGGACUGAUAAGUCAGUGGUGAAAUCUCUCGGCUUAACCGAGAAACUGCCAUUGAUACUGUUAGUCUAGAGUAUAGAUGACGUUGGCGGAAUAUGACAUGUAGUGGUGAAAUACUUAGAUAUGUCAUAGAACACCGAUUGCGAAGGCAGCUAACGAAACUAUAACUGACGCUGAGGCACGAAAGUGCGGGGGAUCAAACAGGAUUAGAUACCCUGGUAGUCCGCACCGUAAACGAUGAUUACUCGUUGUUGGCAAUAUGACCGUCAGCGACCAAGCGAAAGCGAANAAGUAAUACACCNCGGAGGACGCCGGCGACGUAGAACGUACGAACUAGAGUAGUACGGACGUGAGACGAGCGACGGACGACGACGAGGGAGGAGGAG
rnacentral:rRNA from 1 species